UAGCCUAGUGAUUAAGGCUAUGGAUCGCCAAUCCGGAGACAGCGGGUUCGAUUCCCGU
rfam:Aedes albopictus isolate Foshan contig147826, whole genome shotgun sequence.